CAUAAGACGGCAUUUGCAGUUUAAAUGCAAAAAAAAAGGGGGGGAGGGUGUUUGUAUAGAGAGAGACCAGGGCAGAAUUAAACUCUUCCUAAUCAGUGAUUAAGAUAUUUUGUAAAAUUGGCAGGUUAAGCUUUAUUUCAGUAUCUGCACAAAGAUAUGUUAACUUGGGAAUCCAAGUGUUGAUAGCCUUCAGCAUGGUAAAAUUUGGUAUAGAUAGAAUAAAUCAUAUUGUUAUUUUUAGUGGUUAUUAGUUUAAGAUGUGUGUAUAUAUAAAAUUGGAAUCAAAUAUCUGUGACACUGUAUUACCUCUGUGUAACCCUAGGGUUCUGUGGAAGUUUGAAAAGCAAAGCUAAGGUCUAUAUACUCCUUUAGACCAUACACUACAUCAUACUCUUCUUUAGGUCUCUAGUUCCUAGCACAAAAUAGAUGCUCAGAAAAUGUUUGCAUUGUAAUAAAUGCAAUCUUAAAAUGUGAUGCUGAUUUUCUGCUUUAUCCUUAGGGCACCAGUGUCUUGUCACCUGGACUCCACAUAGGAAUAAUUAUUAUACUGGCAAUAAUGAUCUAUAAAAAGUCAGCAACUAAUGUGUUCGAAAAGCAUCCUUGUCUUUAUACCCUAAUGUUUGGAUGUGUCUUUGCUAAAGUCUCACAAAAAUUGGUGAUAGCUCACAUGACCAAAAGUGAACUGUAUCUUCAAGACACUGUCUUUUUUGGCCCA